rnacentral:ncRNA from 2 species
UAAUAAUGGGUAAAGUUACUUCGUAUAACCCCACUUAUAGGGUGUGGGGGUCUCUACCAGAAUCCGUAAAAUUCUGAUUACGAAGAGUUGAGUGAUUGAU